ACAAAAAUGUUGCGUUUUCCGGCCAAAAAGUUGAGUUUUCCGAAAAAGGUUCCCAAAGGUCCAUAAUAAGGUUACAAAGAGGUUCGGGACAAAAUUGUUGAGUUUUUCGGCCAAAAAAACGUUUUUCCGGCGACCGAAGACUAACAACGUUAGGGUUCUAUUAGUCAGAGUCCAUUGGAGGCAAAUAUGUUAAAAGUUAGGUCUGUCAGUGGUUAUUUUUAGAAUUGGGACUGUUGGUGGCCAACGACGAAUAGUUAAGAUUAUUAAAAUCCAAUAUUCCUACCAAAAACGAAUGUAAUGACUUCAAAGACCCUAAGAAAAUUUAGUUUAUGGCAAUGAGAAUGAAAGAAUAAUAAGAACACACUAUACUCCAUACGCAGGAUAACGUUUAUAAGUAAUUGGUUGUGUCAUAUUUUCUUUUUACUAGUGGGAAACCCGCGCGUUGCUGCAGAGUCGAUAAUACGGGACGAGAAUAUAAUUCAAACCUUAAAACAAUAAAAAAUUAUAAUAUAUUAGGGUGGUUCUCAUUAUCUGCCUAUGCAAACAAUCAAACUAAACAAACGGUAAAGUUAUUAUCGAGGUUUCAUUCUUUAUACGAACUUUAAAAAAAAAAAAUUGGGAUACCCUGAAUCUUUCUUCUAGACCCGCCACCGGAUAUAAUACAACCUUAAUAACAAGAUAUUUAAAUACAAGAAGCACUCCUUAGCUUUUCGAGCAGCUCUUCUGCUUUGUCAACAGUGGCCAUCUUUGUAGCCAUGCUUAACUAAUGAUUAAAGCUUCAUAAUAAGUAACAAUAUAAAUAAACAAAACUGAAGUUUAUUUAGAUAGCAACUAAAUUGUUAAAAACAAAUAUUUAAAGUUUAAACCUCUGCGUAGUUAUUAUGUCCAAGAAGCUUAGCCUUUGCUAGCUUCAAAAUUUGUUCAAUAACAGGAGUAUUAUCUAAAUCUCCACUUAAAGCACCCUCUAACUUGCGCCUUCUGCUUUGUUGCAAGAAACACUCUCUAACUUGUUCAAUCCAUCUUCCAAUAUCUAUUAUUUAAAACUGAAAAAAAAAAAAACCAAAAUUAAAUUUGUUAUAGUGGCUAUAUCAUUAUACUCAAGGAUGAGAUUAUUUUCUCAUAUACCGGCACCUUAGCGAUAUGGCAUCCAUAUAGCCUAAUUGGUAUUGGUAUUAGGAUUUCUCAAAUGCGGAUAUUCGGUAAAAUACAAUACGGUAUCUGUACCAGCUUUUUUUUUGGUAUUUUGGCAUUCGGUACUGAAUUAUUACUCUCACCGCUGCAAAAAAAAACAUAAAAAUGGAACAUUACCAUAAAACUGACUUAUAUUUUGCUUAUAUAAAUCAACUUUAUAGAGCAAAAUCCAUUAUUUAAGAAGCGUAGUACCUGAACCCCCCACAUGUAGGGAGGAGGUUGAGGGCUUGAUGCUAAGUAACCAGGUGGAGGCAUAGGCGAAUAAGCCUGUUCAAGAAGUAAUUACAUAAACACCACCUAAAUUUAGUCAAACAACUCACACCACACAUGCUCCAAUUUGACUAUAAGCUUAAAAGUGUUAUAGAUACAAAACCUGAAAUCCGGUCCAAUCAGGUGGGACCGCUCCCAUGGCAUUGCCUGAGGGCUGCUCUUGAGCAAACAAAAACCAAUAAACAAUAUAGAUAAGGAAUGUAAGUAAAACAGAUUAACAGCAUCUAUAUACAUCCCAUGACGCACAAGAGUCAAAAGAGAAUCAAUUCACCUGGGAUGUUGGAGGAGUUUCAUUUGCGGAAUCGUUUGCCUCCUUAACAGGUUAUCCAUCGUUCUCCUGACUUCCCGUUAUUCAGAUUUCAAACCACAACCACUGUAAUACAUGCAUUUUUACUUAAAAUAUUAGAAAAAUCAAAAAUAAAAUAAUAAAUAAUAAAGGCACAUUGAGCAUGAAAUUUGUGGACUUGAAGCCCUAACAGUUAAAAUCAAAUAAGGAAAUAAAUAAGGAAUAAUUAAAGAAAAUGAUACCUAUGGUUCGAAAGCCGAUAGACUCGGCUACCGAGCGUUGUUCUGAAGUAGGCACAUAAAUUGCUUCUUCAAACUUGAGCUUCAUAACAGCCGUUUCACAUUCUUUUAGUUUCUUUGAAGCAUCUGGAUCAUUAGGAGAUAUUCUCUUUUACCUAGUGUCAUAUAUAGGCGUACAACAAGAGCAAUGUACAUUAGCUGUCAACUAAGGAUAAUUUAAGCACAUAUUAUAUGAGUACAUAAAACUUGCAUACAAUUGUAACACAGAAGCACCAUCAAGAUUCAACGGAAAAAAAGUAACGGGGAUCUAAAUCGGCCCCAACCCACUAUUUUAUAGUGGGCCAGAAUGUGAUCAAAGCGCCCGCUAUAUAGUAAUAACAAACUGACAUUAAUAAACACAAACACACACCACUGC
rnacentral:lncRNA from 1 species